GGCCAGGUAGCUAAGUGGUUCAGCGGGUGCGGCUCUUUAUAUAAUUCUCUGCACCUUACGUGGGUUCGAAUCCGGCCCUGGUUG